AGGGAUAUAGCUCAGUGGUAGAGUGCUUGCCUAGCUAUUCAAGACCCUGGGUUCAAUCCCCAGUAUUGCAA
rnacentral:tRNA from 1 species